rnacentral:rRNA from 1 species
GGCACCUUCCGUAGGUGAACCUGCGGAGGGAUCAUUACACAAAUAUGAAGGCGGGCUGGAACCUCUCGGGGUUACAGCCUUGCUGAAUUAUUCACCCUUGUCUUUUGCGUACUUCUUGUUUCCUUGGUGGGUUCGCCCACCACUAGGACAAACAUAAACCUUUUGUAAUUGCAAUCAGCGUCAGUAACAAAUUAAUAAUUACAACUUUCAACAACGGAUCUCUUGGUUCUGGCAUCGAUGAAGAACGCAGCGAAAUGCGAUAAGUAGUGUGAAUUGCAGAAUUCAGUGAAUCAUCGAAUCUUUGAACGCACAUUGCGCCCUUUGGUAUUCCAAAGGGCAUGCCUGUUCGAGCGUCAUUUGUACCCUCAAGCUUUGCUUGGUGUUGGGCGUCUUGUCUCUAGCUUUGCUGGAGACUCGCCUUAAAGUAAUUGGCAGCCGGCCUACUGGUUUCGGAGCGCAGCACAAGUCGCACUCUCUAUCAGCAAAGGUCUAGCAUCCAUUAAGCCUUUUUUUCAACUUUUGACCUCGGAUCAGGUAGGGAUACCCGCUGAACUUAAGCAUAUCAAUUAAAGCA